UACGUAGGGUGCAAGCGUUGUCCGGAAUUAUUGGGCGUAAAGAGCUCGUAGGCGGUUUGUCACGUCGGCCGUGAAAACCCGCGGCUCAACCGUGUGGUCUGCAGUCGAUACGGGCAGGCUAGAGUUCGGUAGGGGAGACUGGAAUUCCUGGUGUAGCGGUGAAAUGCGCAGAUAUCAGGAGGAACACCGGUGGCGAAGGCGGGUCUCUGGGCCGAUACUGACGCUGAGGAGCGAAAGCGUGGGGAGCGAACAGG
rnacentral:rRNA from 1 species